rnacentral:rRNA from 1 species
GUUAUAUGGUCAAGUGAUUAAGCGCAUAUGGUGGAUGCCUAGGCGGUAGAAGGCGAUGAAGGACGUUGUAGCUUGCGAUAAGCUUCGGGGAGCCAGCAAACAGGCUUUGAACCGGAGAUCUCCGAAUGGGAAAACCCACCUGUCGUAAGGCAGGUAUCUUGCACUGAAUCCAUAGGUGUAAGAGGCAAACCCGGGGAACUGAAACAUCUAAGUACCCGGAGGAAAAGAAAUCAACCGAGAUUCCCUCAGUAGCGGCGAGCGAAAGGGGAUUAGCCCUUAAGUUGCGAUGUGGUUAGUGGAACAGUCUGGAAAGUCUGGCGAUACAGGGUGAUAGCCCCGUACACGAAAACCUAUUCGCAGUGAAAUCGAGUAAGGCGGGACACGUGAUAUCCUGCUUGAACAUGGGGGGACCAUCCUCCAAGGCUAAAUACUCUCUACCGACCGAUAGUGAACCAGUACCGUGAGGGAAAGGCGAAAAGAACCCCGUAGAGGGGAGUGAAAUAGAACCUGAAACCGUAUGCGUACAAGCAGUGGGAGCCCCUUCGGGGGUGACUGCGUACCUUUUGUAUAAUGGGUCAGCGACUUACUUCUCAGUGGCAAGCUUAACCGUUUAGGGGAGGCGUAGGGAAACCGAGUCUUAAUAGGGCGUUCAGUCGUUGGGAGUAGACCCGAAACCGGGCGAUCUAGCCAUGGCCAGGGUGAAGGCACGGUAACACGCGCUGGAGGCCCGAACCCACCUAUGUUGAAAAAUGGGGGGAUGAGCUGUGGCUAGGAGUGAAAGGCUAAUCAAGCCCGGAGAUAGCUGGUUCUCCUCGAAAGCUAUUUAGGUAGCGCCUCGCGUCUCACUCCAUGGGGUAGAGCACUGUUUCGGCUAGGGGGCCAUCCCGGCUUACCAAACCGAUGCAAACUCCGAAUACGUGGAAGUGUAAUCGCGGGAGACACACGGCGGGUGCUAACGUCCGUCGUGGAAAGGGAAACAACCCAGACCGCCAGCUAAGGUCCCAAAAUCAUGGCUCAGUGGGAAACGAUGUGGGAAGGCAUAGACAGCUAGGAGGUUGGCUUAGAAGCAGCCAUCCUUUAAAGAAAGCGUAAUAGCUCACUAGUCGAGUCGGCCUGCGC